GGGGUAAAAUUCUGUGGAUUACAAACAACUGCACUUUUGUUCCAGCCCUGCAUAAUCUCACAGGCAGUUCUGGAACAUGUUGUUUCCUAUGUACAGCCUCCCAGGGACUUCUGGAACAUGCUGUUUCCUAUAGCAUGAGGAUCUGAUUAUACAAUGCUUUGGGUUAUGAUGAAUUUGCAUGUUAUUUUGCAAGCAGAGUUGAGCUUUUUCUGACCUGACAACCAUGUGAUCCAACUCCAGCACUGGAAUAAUGAGUCCUGCUGACAGUCAGAAUUAUGUAGCCCAGGUUCAUCCACUUCAAAACCGUGUUCACUGUGGCUGCAUCUCUACUAGAACUGCAACGUUGCCAGGGCAAGCCCAGAGCAGAGGAGGGGAUGUGUACUGCAUGUUCUGAAAGACAAGUAGCACAGUAGUGCACAGUAGCACAGUCUUGGACCAUGACAAUUCAUCUCCCAGACAAUUGCCUUGCAUGAUCCAAAGGUAAGCCUGGGCCUGGAACCACUCUUUGGAAGCAGCUUCAGCACAUCAUCCUUCCUCUUUGGUGUAAGAUGUUCUUUGUGAAGGAACACAGGACUGGAGUCAAGGCUGAAGAGUGAUCACUGAUGGAGGUUAAUACGACUGGAAUCUGUUGAGAAGGAAGCUACAUGCACGUCCAAAGUGCUGUGUCACCGUGCUGUUGGAACGCCUCAGGCUGUCCCACAGAUGAACACACCUGCGUGAUUCAGGCAUCUUAGAUCUCCAAGGAAAUGUGUCCAGGCCAGUGGAGCUUGUUUCAAAUAAGUACCUGUGUUAUAUGGGAUUAUUGUGCUAUGUUGAUAUGAUGCCCCUGACCCUGUCCUUGGCUGGCACUUAUCUUGGGUGCAGUGAAUUGUGUUCCCUGCUGCCAUGUAUGAUGUCCUUGGUCCUGCAAUAGGUCUUAGAAACCACAGGAGUGGAAACCUGAAUGAGCUAAAUAAUUCUAUUUUCCUCCAAGAAAUUCAAGCAGAAACUUUCUGUCAGGCUUGGUUGCACAAAACAGGCUACAUCUCCAGAAGCCAGAGACUGCAGAUUCAUACCUGCUGAGGCUGCCAGCUGAAUGUUUGUUCCACCCAACAACAUGAGCUGUUCAACUUGAAGGUCUGUAUGAUGAUUUAUAAAACCUUUUUCACAUCAUUAUUUCAGAUAGAGAUAGGAUCUCAUUAAUGCUGUAGCAGGAUGGGAAUAAGCAUUUGGAAUAUGCCAGUGUAGGGCAAUUCAGCCGUUUUUGUGACAAGCAUAUUACUGUGGUAUCAUUAAUAAUGUUUGUCACAAUGACAAUUUAUUUAUGUGUAUUUAUUUAGUAUUUAUUAUUAUGUAUUUAUUUAUCUGAAAGCAUCUGUUGUGUGCCAGAGCAGCUACAGAAGACAACAACCCCAGCCAGAAAAUGUCCUGACAACGCUGCUCCUUGGGGAUUAAUGUGUUUGGGAAGGGCUACAUUCUUACAUUUACUGUCAGAUUUUCACCAUCACUCCAAUGGUUCUGAAGUCGUUUUCCAAAUUGUCAUAAUGGUCUGAUGACAACGUAUUUGAAAUGGAUUUUUUUGUCCUGCUAUGACACAUUUUUCUCCAGCUGUUGGUAACAAUAUAAGGUUGAAGACACAAACCUGGUGUGUCUUUCAUGAAACACAUUUCAGUGUUUAACACGGCAUGAAAUGCUCUCUGGUGGAAUCAGGUGCAGAAGAUGUUUCUUCCUAUUUAUAUGAACCUCACUAAAAAUGUCUGUCUCAUUCUUCCAGAGCUUAGUUUUCUUUGGAACAUUCUGGCUUUCUCAUAGCAGAAAUUUGUGGAACUGAACUUAUUAUCAGACAUGGAUCACUGUGGUGAUAAUCUCAGGAGAGAGAUAGAUACCACUCCCAAAUACAAAUAUUGAAUGACAAUCUCCAGAAAGAACAUUUAGAAUAUUACAUACACGUGAAAGACAUAGUUCUGACUUCAUUGAUUGAAAUAUCCUUUAUUACAUCACAUUCAGGACAGAUUUCAUAUUACUAGGUAUUUUUUCAAUAUUUCAUUUGUAUAGAUAUUUUAAAUCCCCCUCAAAUUCUAAAAAAAAAUAUAAAUUAACACCAGUGACAAAGAUACUGGUUAGUAAUUUCUUGAAAGUCGUGAAAGAACCUAAGUUGCCAAAGUGUAUUAGGGAAUAUUUUAUGACUCAGAUGUGUCUAGGGUAGACUAUGCCACAAGAACUGGCAUAGGACAGACUCUUAGUUCCUUUGUAAUGGAAUCUCAUUUGCUGCCCUUCUGUGGUUUUUAUUAUUUCAAUCAAUGUGAUUUCUCAUAAGACGAUACAAUGCAACUAUUGUACAGAAUUAGAAUAUUUCCUAGAUAAGACACAAAGCCUUAAAUUCAAUGGCAAUUUAAUGCCUGUGCUAUUGUUCUCUUUUCAUCUUUGAUUUUUUGAGGCAGACCUCUCCCAGAAAUGUCAAUGCAUAUAAAGGAAGUACACAAAUAAAGAUUUUGCAAAGCCAAGUGUGACA
rnacentral:lncRNA from 1 species